AGUGAACGCUGGCGGUAGGCCUAACACAUGCAAGUCGAACGGCAGCACAGUAAGAGCUUGCUCUUACGGGUGGCGAGUGGCGGACGGGUGAGGAAUACAUCGGAAUCUACUUUUUCGUGGGGGAUAACGUAGGGAAACUUACGCUAAUACCGCAUACGACCUACGGGUGAAAGCAGGGGAUCUUCGGACCUUGCGCGAUUGAAUGAGCCGAUGUCGGAUUAGCUAGUUGGCGGGGUAAAGGCCCACCAAGGCGACGAUCCGUAGCUGGUCUGAGAGGAUGCUCAGCCACACUGGAACUUGGACACGGUCCAGACUCCUACGGGAGGCAGCAGUGGGGAAUAUUGGACAAUGGGCGCAAGCCUGAUCCAGCCAUACCGCGUGGGUGAAGAAGGCCUUCGGGUUGUAAAGCCCUUUUGUUGGGAAAGAAAAGCAGCAGGUUAAUACCCCGCUGUUCUGACGGUACCCAAAGAAUAAGCACCGGCUAACUUCGUG
rnacentral:rRNA from 1 species